CCCGUACCUGAAAGCAGCAAAACUCAGUCACAUUGUGCUUCUUAGUCAAGCAGAGAGUAUUACAGGAAAACAAAGGUGGGAGUAACUGAAUGGCGCAACUGCGGAUUCUUUCUCGUGUCAAGGGUGGAAUUUAGAACCCCAGUGAGCAAUGAUUCACUCUGAACUAUUAUGAGCUUCCAGAGAUCAAGCUACCGGCACCGGCUAGCCCUGUUUCUGGGGGUGAAAAGAGGAGCCGAGUGCAUAAGCCUCCUCAGCCGGUACAUAGCCUCUCCAUUGCCAAGACUUGCACACGCCUCCUUGUGGACACACACGGCAACUGGCACCCUGCGGUCCCAGGCUAAGUUGUGCAGGAUCUCAGAGCAGCAGGGGGCCCCAGAGAUGUGGCAUGUAGGCCCACCGGUGUGUCGACACGCCCUACCAGAGAUGGGACCAAGUCACACAUGUGAAUGUCUCAAACUAAGACCUUCUGCACGUACAACGACAAACCUUGGUUUACACCAAACGUCAGGAGGCUGCGCAAAGUCAAGGAGGAGGCCUACAGGAGCGGCGACCGCGACCUGUUCAAGCAGACCAGAAACACACUGAACUGAGUGUGGAAAGGUCUGCAGAGCAUCAUGGGCUUCAAGAAACGAACUGUGGAGAGCCCAAGGCUUGCUAACCAGCUAAACAGGUUCUACUGCAGAGGCCGCGCCCGCACUCCAGAUCCGCGAGAAGGAAGUGCGCCAGAUGUUCCAGAGACAAAAGACCAGGAAGGCACCGGGCCCAGACGGCGUGUCACCUUCCUGCCUGAAAGUCUGCGCUGAGCAGCUGGCGCCCACCUUUGCACGGAUCUUCAACCGUUCUCUGGAGCUGUGUGAGUUGCCCUCAUGCUUCAAGAGCUCUACCAUCGUUCCAGUGGCCAAAAAGCCCGCCAUCACAGGUUUGAAUGAGUAUAGACCUGUAGCACUGACAUCUGUGGUCAUGAAAUCUUUCGAGAGGUUAGUGCUGAACCACCUGAAGGAUGUCACGGGCCCCCUGCUUGACAGGAGACAGCGUGUGAGGCUGGGGGGCAUCACAUCUGACACCCGGACCACCAAUACUGGAGCCCCUCAAGGGUGCGUCCUCUUCCUACUGCUCUUCUCUCUCUACACCAACAAUUUCUCCUCAGGUGACUCUCCUGUGAAGCUUCUGAAGUAUGCAGACGACACCACUCUCAUCGGACUGAUCCAGGACUUGUACCUGUCCAGGACCAGGAAACGUGCAAGGAACAUCUCUACAGACCCUUCUCACCCAGGUUGCAGUCUGUUUGAACUACUCUCCUCCGGACGGCGUUAUAGAGCUCGGUACGCCAAAACCAGCAGACACAGAGACAGCUUCUUCCCCCAGGCUGUUGCUCUGAUGAACUCACACCACUCUUAGAGUCUCAGAGUCAUUACUGUGCAAUAACGUCCUGCUCUCCACACCUUUCUUGAAUUUGUCUCCACUGUACUAUGUGUCCUCUCUGCAUCCAUUGCAGCCUGGUCAUCCUGGAUAAGGGACCUCCCCAUCUGUGGUCUCUUCUCAAGGUUUCUCAUUUCCCCUAGAUGGAGUUUUGAGUUUUUCCUUGCCCUUUUGGGAGUUUAAGAUCAGGGGAUGUUUGAGAAUAUUUGCCAUUUUUCACACGUCCUGAGUGUUGUUAGUCACCUAAAUGUUGAACAAAGGGUGUGAUUUACUGAAGUCAAACUCCUUGUUUGGCACGCUCAAACAUGGCGAAUAAAAAACUUGAAUCUUGAAUAAAACAACAAAAUUGCAAUAACUGCAUUAAUCAAAGUGAAGUCUAACUGUAGUCUUGAAACAAAUCUGAAUAAGGAAAAACAUUGCAAUAAAAUAAUGCAAACGGCUACCGCUAUUGUUGGGGAGCCUGAGGACUGUAUAGGGGGUUGGCUUGGAUGGUUACCGUAUUUUCACGUUUGUUAGGCGCGGAUAAAAGUCUUAGAUUUUCUUCAAAAUGUGCGGCGCGCCUUAUGAUGCAGUGCUCCCUAUGUGUGUUGUUGUAAGGCGGACGUAUUAAAGAACGCGAUGAGAACGUUAGAGGGAGAAUUGUGGGUGUGAAUUUGUGGUAUGAAUGAAUUUGAAGCAAUGUAUAAGGUACUAUCUAUAAAAGGGGAGAUGUUAGAGAGAGUGAAAAACCCCCCGCCCCCACAUGCAAUGUGGCACUGCUGUGUUGUGUUACGUCAUGACGCACGGGGGUCGGUUCAAUACAGUCACAAACUUGAGCACU